rnacentral:rRNA from 1 species
GACGGAGGGUGCAAGCGUUGUUCGGAAUUAUUGGGCGUAAAGCGCGUGCAGGCGGUGGGAUAAGUCCGAUGUGAAAGCCUUGGGCUCAACCCGAGAAGUGCAUUGGAUACUGUCCUUCUUGAGUACGGGAGGGGGAAGUGGAAUUCCCAGUGUAGAGGUGAAAUUCGUAGAUAUUGGGAGGAACACCGGUGGCGAAAGCGACUUCCUGGAACGAUACUGACGCUGAGACGCGAAAGCGUGGGGAGCAAACAGGAUUAGAUACCCCCGUA